UGUUAUAAUAUAAUAAAAUGAAAGUGGUCAUUCAUUUUGUCCACUAACUAGCCGAAAAUGCUAAGAAAAAAAUAAGAAGAAGAGGUUCAUACAUUCGGCCAUUGUUGGAGCUAAUUCAAGAUCAAGAACAAAAGAAAUCAGACUUGGAUCGGGGGAAAAAAAUAGUUGUUGAAUAGUUGUUCUAUAUACCCGUCAAUAUUUGAGAGUUCCAAAUACUUGCUCGGGUUGGAAGUCGUUGGAGUCGUCAUCACACUAUCCGGUUAUCGCUUCGGUAAAUUAUAACUUUGAGUUUUUAGUUAUGUGGCAUGUAUAGGCUAGUUUUAAUUUAGUUGUUGUAUAUAUAUUCAGCCAUGCGAAAAUGGCUUGAUCUAAUGCUAAUGAUCCAAGGUUUAAGUAAUUUUGGUCAUAGUAAAGGCAUGGGGUAUGCUUGGUAUAUGA